AACGAACGCUGGCGGCGUGCCUAACACAUGCAAGUCGAGCGAGAGAGCCCGCAAGGGUGAGUAAAGCGGCGCACGGGUGCGUAACACGUGGGUAAUCUGCCCUGAAGUCCGGAAUAACUCGCCGAAAGGCGUGCUAAUGCCGGAUAAGACCACGGGAACCUCGGUUCCUGCGGGCAAAGGUAGCCUCUGUACACAAGCUAUCACUUCAGGCUGAGCCCGCGGCCCAUCAGCUAGUUGGCGGGGUAAUGGCCCACCAAGGCUACGACGGGUAGCUGGUCUAAGAGGACGAUCAGCCACACUGGAACUGAGACACGGUCCAGACUCCUACGGGAGGCAGCAGUGGGGAAUCUUGCGCAAUGGGCGAAAGCCUGACGCAGCAACGCCGCGUGUGUGAUGAAGGUCUUCGGAUCGUAAAGCACUGUCGGGAGGGACGAAUAGGGCGCCGGCUAACAUCCGGCGCUGAUGACGGUACCUCCAAAGGAAGCACCGGCUAACUCUGUGCCAGCAGCCGCAGUAACAC
rnacentral:rRNA from 1 species